AAAUUGAAGAGUUUGAUCAUGGCUCAGAUUGAACGCUGGCGGCAGGCCUAACACAUGCAAGUCGAACGGUAACAGGAAACAGCUUGCUGUUUCGCUGACGAGUGGCGGACGGGUGAGUAAUGUCUGGGAAAUUGCCUGAUGGAGGGGGAUAACUACUGGAAACGGUAGCUAAUACCGCAUAACGUCGCAAGACCAAAGAGGGGGACCUUAGGGCCUCUUGCCAUCGGAUGUGCCCAGAUGGGAUUAGCUAGUAGGUGGGGUAA
rnacentral:rRNA from 1 species